GUGAGACUGGGAUCACUCUAGGAAACCGGGGCUAAUACCGGACGCUUGUUUGAACCGCAUGGUUCAAACAUAUCAGGUGGCUUCCGCUACCACUUACAGAUGUACCCGCGGCUCAUUAGCUAGUUGGUGACGCAACGGCUCAACAAUGCAACGAUGCGUAGCCAACCUGAUAGGGUGAUCUGCCACUCUGACACUGAGACAACUCCCACACUCCUACGGGAUGCAGCAUUAUGGAAUCUUCCGCAAUGGACGAAAGUCUGACGCAGCAACGCCGCGUGAGUGAUGAAGGUUUUCGGAUCGUAUAGCUCUGUUGUUAGGGAAUAACAAGUACCGUUCCAAUAAGGCGGCUCCUUGACGGAACCUAACCAGAAUGCCUCGGCUAACUACGUGCCAGCAGCCGCGAUAAUACGUACGUUGCUCGCGUUGUCCGGAAUUAUUGGGCGUAAAGGGCUCGCAAGCGGUUCCUUGAGUCUGAUGUGAAAUCCCCCGGCUCAACCGGUCAGGGUCUUUGGAAACUGAGUAACUUGAAUGCAGAAGAGGAUAGUGGAAUUCCACGUGUAUCGGUAAAAUGCGUAAAGAUGUGCAGGAACACCAGUGGCGAACGCGACUCUCUGGUCUGCAACUGACGCUGAGGAGCGAAAGCGUGCAGGAGCAAACAGGAUUAGAUACCCUGGUAGUCCACGACGUAAACGAUCAGUGC
rnacentral:rRNA from 1 species